AGAGAGGGAGACAAUGGAAUCUGAAGCAGGCUCCAGGCUCUGAGCUGUUAGCACAAAGCCCGACGUGGGGCUCGAACUCAAUGAACGGUGAGAUCAUGACCUGAGCCAAAGUCAGGAUGCUUAACCAACUGAGCCACCCAGGCACCCUGCAUGGUGGAGUUUUUGGUAGCAUCCUGCUUGUUUUCCAGUUCUGCUGUCUUUCUGGCCAACGCACUCCGGCUGGGCUGCUUGUGACUUUUGUUAUAAGGGAAACUGUCACAAGAUAGGUUAAGGGGAAAAGGAAGUGCAUGGGUCAUCAUAAGGCUAAGGGAAGAGGAAGUGCAUCAUGCUGGGAGGGACAUGGUCCGACACAGGGGAUCUGAUGUGGACUUGGGUAAUCGCGAUAGUAAGGCUCCACUGGGGAAGUUUCAGCUGCUAUUGGAGGUGUUCAGCCAACCAAGAAAUAUUUCUUGAAAUCCCCAGGACAGAAGGUUCUCACUUUAUUUAGUUCACCGACCAUCACCAAGACUAGUUGCACUUUGACAAAAAGAGGCAAAUAGGAAGCAUUGAUCACAACUAUUGCCAGCAGGAAAUAAUGCAAUAAUAGCAAAUACAUUCUGUCUGCUACCCUUUCCAGAUACUGUUAAGUGCUUUGGCCCUUGAUCUUCACAACUGUCCCUUUGAGGGAGAUAUUCUUACUCCCAUUUUACAACUUGUCCAACAAGCAGCUUGUCCAAAUUUAUCUAAUUAGCAAGCAACAGAACCAGGAGCUGAAAUUAACACUGCAUGAUUCCAAAGCACACAUUUUUUCCUUAUGCCAAAGACAGGGAAAAUGUGAGCUUUUAUCACCUUUGUCAUUUAGUCUUUGUUAGAGGCUGAACUGUGUGUCCCCCAAAUUCAUAUGUUGCAGCCCUCAAUCUCUAGUACCUCAGAAUGUGACUGGACAAUCUCUUAAAGAGGUAAUGAGGUUAAGAUGAGACCUUGAGACCUUUAGGGUCGGUGCCGGUGCUAAUCCAGUAUGACUGGUGUCCUUCUAAGAAGAAAUGUAGGGGCACCUGAGUUGGUUAAGUGUCCGGCUAUUGAUUUUGGCUCAGAUCAUGAUCUCAUGGUUUGUGCUGACAGCAUGGAGCCUGCUUGGGAUUCUCUCCCUCUCUCUCUGCAUCCCCCCAUCAAAAAUAAGUAAACAUUAAAGGAAAAUAAAAGGGAAAAAAUGUGAUCACCAGACAUGCAUGUUCACCGAGGAAAGACCGUGUGAGGACGUAGCAAGAAGGCAGCCAUCCGCAGGCCAACAAGAGAGAACUCAGAAGAAAUCAAAGCUGCUGACACACUGAUCUUGAACUUCUAGCCCCUAGAACUGUGAAAAAAAUCAACUUGUUUCAACCACCAAGUGUGGGGUACCUUGUUAUGACAGCCCGAGCAAACUAAUAGUCUUCAGUAACCCAAGCAGGUCAGCAGAAUUUUGUUGUAACUCAGGCUAUGUGAUUUGCCUGUGGUCACGUACUCCAGAGCCCAGAUUUUUUUUUUUUUUUUUUUUAAUGUUUAAUUUUGAGAGAGUGAGAGAGAGCAGGCGAGGGGCAGAGAGAGAGGGAGACACAGGAUCCGAAGUAGGCUCCAGGCUCUGAGCUGUCAGCACAGAACUCGACGCGGGGCUCAAAUCUAUGAACUGUGACAUCAUGACCUGAGCCAAAGUUGGACACUUAACCAAGUGAGCCACUCAGGCUUCCCAAGAGCCCAUGUUCUUUAUACUGGACCACAUUGUCCUCUGACCCCAGUUGGUGCUUUAUAUACUGAAAAGCCCUGUAGAGAAACUGGAAAUGAAACCGAGGAACACUGGUUGGCGUGCUUGUAGUUCUGACGCAAUGCAACGUGCACACAUCACUAGCCUCACCGAAAUUCAAACAAAAGGCGACUGCAGCUCCGAACAGUGCUUGCCAGAAUGCUGGAAACGGACGUGUGUUUACAGCGUAAGUGCAAGUAGAGUGCAUCUGGGAACAAAGAGGCAGGUAUUUGAAGCAUUCAAGAUGAUACUCAAGAAUUCAACAAACCCAGUUGGUAGGAAGCUAAGUUACUGGUCUGGCAAAGGAUUGAGCAGAAAAACCUAAAAGACUUGGAUUCAAUUGGUAGAGCCUGGGAAUCUGCAUUUUACGAUGUCCUGAAGUGGUUCUGAUAUCAAAUUUAGGAAAUAUUUAGUCCCGUCCCUGCAUUUGACAGGUGAGUGAACUGAGGCCCACAUUGGAGCCAGGGUUUGCCCAAGGCCCUUGCACAAGGGCACCAGUUAGUGGCAGGGCUGGGACUAAUCCCCAGGCUCAGGCCUCCUCUGGCACAUCAUGGACCAGUACUUGGUCCCAUUGCUUGGCUCUAGGCUGAGAGCUAUACAGCGAUUAAAUGGUUCACACGGUUCUCCUAUUGCCCACACUGUGCGGUCCCCCAGGAGACAUGUUGCUUAGGUCUAGGACAUACACAGAAGCAUGUUGAGGGUAAUAACAAUAAUAAUGAUAAUAGCAGCUAACACUUACUGUGUGCCAGGCAUUGCUCCAAGCACUUUACAUGUCGAACUCUUUUAAUCCUCACAUUAACCCAUGAGGUGCAUAUUUUCCCUAUUUUAGAGAAGAGGAAACCGAGGCACAGGGAAGCUAAGAGGGCAAGGAGCUACUUUGACCAUGUCACAUUCAGGUGAUUGUUUCCCUUCCUUGGGCCACUCUGAGCCUCUACUUCCUUUAUUCCACACAUUUAGAGCUGGUUCCUUCCCCUCCACACCGCCCUCAUCGUCAGCCCAGGGAGCCACUCAGAGCUGAGCUGGGGGAGGUGGGGGGUUUGGCCACAGCAUCUCCCCCGGUGCCAAGCUCCACUAUAGACCUCCCUUUACUGAGGCCAGUGAGCCUGGAGGGGACUGCAGCUCAGCCAGGCAGGUAGGAGAGAGAGGCCGCUUCUCCUCCCGCCCCCCCCUUGCUGCCACAUUCCCUUGUCGGGGAAUCCAUUCUUCGGUGGGGAGUGGCUGGGUAGGGGCACAUUCUUGGCCAGAGCAGAGGGGAGUCGUGUGUGGCGCUUUCGAUAAGCUUUAUUACAGCUGAGGCACAUGUUAUAUCACUGUUGAGACCUUGUCUAAUUCUGUGAGUCAUGCCCCUGUGUUAGAACUCACAUGUUUCCUUUUGGGCCUAGUGAACACAAUUUCUCUCUCCUGGAGGUGCCAGUGGUGAGUUCUCUUAGCUGUGUUCUUAUUUUUGCAGUGGCUGCUAGGAAGUUCAGGAUUCUCUUUGUUGCUUCGGUGAAUGCUCCAUCUGAUUUUGAGUUGGUGACAAAAUUAGCUUCCUCCCUAUAGUUUUUCCUCCAGUUUUAAUGGUUAUUUAACCUCUGAACUAAUUUUAAUUUGCCAUGUUUCUUUUUCUUUCAAUUUUACUUAUUUAUUUUGAUGGAGACAAAGCGUGCACACAUGCAUGCAAGUGGGCUAAGGGCAGAAGGAGAGAGACAGAAUCCCAAGCAAUCUCUAUGAUCAGCCCGACACGGGCCCAGUCCCACGACUGUGAGAUCAUGACCUGAACCGAUAUCAAGAGUCAGUCACUCAACCGAGUGAGCCACACAAGUCACCCAGAUGCCCCUAAUUUGCCAUGUUUCUAACUAUAACAUAUGAGAGCGUCUGUUUCAUUGCCCUCUUAUCUGCUAAUCUGACAUUUUUAAUAGGUUGUUUUUGGUGGCUAUUUAAAUUCUUAUGUCUUUGUUGGGCAUUUUUCCAUGUUAAGCUAUUUUCUCCUAUAAACUUUUUUGUUUAUCUCCUGUCUUUCUAAUCUAGGUGAAAUUAGUGGUUCACUAAUGUGUAUGAAUUCUUCAAGUGUUAAAAUUAUUUACCUUUGUGUUGUAAAUUUUUUUUUUUUAAUUUCCCGUUAGUGUAUGUGCUUCUAUUUUAAGUUGCCUCAAAUAGUUUACCAGAAAUAAGCAGGGCAGAAAACAACACAGCAAUCUUAUGAGGUGAUUAUUAUUAUCAUCCCCACUUUACAGAUAGGAAAACUGAGGCACAGAUUAGUUAAAUAACUUGCUGUCUCACAUAGCUAACAAAUGAUAGAGCCAGGAUGCAAACUCAAAGACAGUACACCAGUGUUCCUUUUUUUUUUUAAGUUUAUUUAUAUAUUUUGAGAGAGAGAGUGAGAGUGGGAGGGGCAAAGAGAGAGGGAGAGAGAGAACCCCAAGCAGGCUCCACACUGCAAAGAGCCUGAUGUAGAACUUGGACUCAAAACUGUGAGAUCAUGACCUGAACCGAAAUCAAGAGUUGGACACUUAACCGACUGAGCCAGCCAGGUGCCCCACUACUCCAGUGGUUCUUAAUGAGGGAUAACUUUUACCUCCAGGGAAUAUAGGAAAUGUCUGGAGACAUUUAAAAACAAUUUUUUUUAAUGUUUAUUUAUUUUUGAGAGAGAGAGAGAGCAUGAGAGGAGGAAGGGCAGAGAGAGAGGAAGACACAGAAGCUGAAGCAGGCUCCAGGCUCUGAGCUGUCAGCACAGAGUCCGACGUGGGGCUCAAACUCACAGAUGGCGAGAUCAUGACCUGAGCCAAAGUGGGACGCUUAACCAACUGAGCCACUCAGGUGCCCCUGGAGACAUUUUUGAUUGUCACAACUGGAGAGUGGCUUCUAUUAUGUAGUGAGUAGAGCCCAGGGACCCUGCGAAACAUCCUCCAGUGCACAGGCCAGCCCCCACAACAAAGAAUGGUCUGGCGCAGAAGUUAACAGUGCUGAGGCUGAGGAACCCUGUGUAGAGCAGCCAUUAGUGUAUAUCAUCUCCUUGGGCUUCCGCAAAGCGCUUUAGCCUGGUUCUCUGUCCUUGAUCUGCCUGUUUAACUGAAAAUGCCUCAGGAUAGGGUGGGCGAUUGUAGCCAGAGCGACACAUGCUGACAGGUCAGGGAGUGCAGGCAUUCCAGGGGACGCAUGCUGGUGUUCACGUAGCCCAAAGAGCGCAGACCUCACAGGAAACGAUUUCUGAAGGCAGGAAGCGAAACCCGGAAAGCCUUCAUGUCCAUUGUUAUUGCGGGUCCAAAGAGGGGCAGGGGCUGCAGAAGGAGCUGCUGGGCUUAUUACAUGGGGAACAGCGCCCCAUCCCAUGACAAGGGCCGGCCGGAGAACCCCAGGUAACUGAUGCCCCACACAGAGUGCUCUGUGUGUCCCUGCACACCUGGUCCUCGCCCCUGCACUCUGCCUGUGGCUUCCUUUCUCCCAGCAUCCCAGGCACUGAACCCUACAUCUGCCUGGCAGGUCUCCGGGAGCAGAUCCCUCUUACCCCCGCAUCUCAUCUAGAUACUGAAGCUCCCUGAAGCAGGAGGAGUCCUGUUUCUUUUGUGCAAAUACAGAAAUCUCCCUUGCAGCCUCCUGGAACACACUGCUAGAAGAAAGCUCCUGAUUCUGGCAGCUAGGGCAUCUCUUUUGGAAGGCGGUGCUCUUGUGGAAAGAACACUGCACAAGGAAUUGGCAGGCCGAGGCUGCUGGUUUGUGUACUCAGAAGCCCUGCGUGGGGCUCACUGCAGGCCUGAGUUACAUUUGUCUCCUCUGUGGUGCCUGGCACGGGGCUUUGCACGGGGCUGGUUGUCAAUAGUUACUUGUUGGAUGGAAUAAAUGCAUCACUGCUCUCCGCUCUGCUCCCCUGUCUGGACAGAUCGAAGCCAUCUCCACAGAUGGACUCAGGUGGUGGCAGCAGUCUGCUCCAGGCCAGAGGAUGCGGGAUACAUGUCGAUUGUAUGGGAUACAUGGCUGACGGCUUACCAGUGUCUUCCUGCCUGCUGUGCGGGCACCUGGACACAGUGCUGAGUCCUGCCCCUUGUCUGCGGGCUUGAGUCCGCCUACCCCAUUCCACCUCCCUGGGCUAGAGGAUCUUGGAGGCCAGGGGCUAUUAGUGAAUUACACUCAGAGUUAUUAGGGAGCUGCUCUGUGCCAAAUACUGGGCUGAGUGUUGCAGACACAGCAAUUAAUGAGAAAGCCAUGGUCCCUGACUAGCGGGAGUAGAGAUUUUGCACUAGCAACUACAAGGGGGAUGCGUGUAAUGAAAGAAGAAGUACAGGGGAGAUUGUCACUGUUUGCUGCUGAUACAUAGAAAUACUAGAAAUUCAAUGGAUACAAUUUUUUUUAAUGCUUAUUUAUUUUAUUUUUGAGAAAGAGAGAGAGAGAGGCAGAGAGGGAAAGAGAAAGAGAAUCCCAAGCAGGCUCCACACCAUGAUGUGGGGCUUGAACUCACACGCUGUGAGAUCAUGACCUGAGGUGAAAUCAAGAGUCAGACGCUUAAUCUGCUGAGACCCAGUUGCUCCCAAUGGAUACAAUUUUUAUCUUAGAAGCCACACUUGUGUCCCAUUCCUCAAUGCUGAGGUCGCCCAUAGGCAAAGGUGGGAGUCAUGUGCAUGGCCUGAUUUCACGGAGACUACAAAUGCAUCCACCCCAAAAACGUCCAGGUCCAGGGCCUAGUAGGAUACAGUUACAAAACUAUGGGAAUUUAGAAAAGAUCUGGUUUUGAAUUCUGCCUCUUCCUCUUCCUCUUCCGGUAUGUUAAUGUCUCUGAGAGAAACUUCCCCGUCUGUAAAAUUUGAAUAACAAUAACCAUCCCCAGCAAGGUUGACUCUGUUUAGUGACUCAGCGGGUACCUCUUGGGACUGGAAGUUGAGUUACGAAACAGAGUCAGCCUUGGGACAGCCCUCCUCUUCUAUGAGACCAGAAAGCCCCACAGCCAGAGCAAGGUUAGGCCACAGACAAGGCUGUGUCCUAAGAAGCAAUGAUUAAAUGUCCAUGUUGGUUGAGGGACAGGCAAAGGCAGAAGCUUGUCCUCUCCCUGAUGGGCUAGUUUGUAGACAAGCCUUAGCGACCCUAGGUCAGGGUUCCCAUAUGGUAGUGGUAACACUGGUGACAUGGGGAGUGGAUGAACAUUUCUGAUUUUGCAAUCUAUCAGUGAUUUUGAUGUGUUUUGGGAAAAUACAAGUAGCAUAGCAAACUCAAGAUUGUAUGAACAUUUUUGUUUAGAAUGACGUUAGGUUUUUAAAAAGAAUUUUGUUUUUUUUUAAUUUUUAUUUUAAAAAUUUUGCUACUGUUUAUUUUUGAGAGAGAGAGGGAGAGCAUGAGUGGGGGAGAGGUGGGGAGAGAGGGAGACACAGAAUCCGAAGCAGGCUCCAGGCUCUGAGCCAUCAGCACAGAGCCCGACGCGGGGCUCGAACCCACAAACCGUGACAUCAUGACCUGAACCAAAAUCGGAUGCUCAACCGACUGAGCCACCCAGGUGCCCCAAAAGUAGCGAAGAAACUGAGGUCAAGAAACAGACCUGGGACUUGAACCAGAUCGUCGGAGCUCCAGGUGGUGCUCCUCUGAGCAGCCAGGGCUCUCUCACUUCGUUGGGCAACCUACACUAGAAGAACUUUCCAUUGUCACCUUGAGAAUCUGGGUAGCCGCUGAGUAGCCACCAGUCCAAGAAAAAUGAGGAGGUUCAUGGAGUCAACCCAAACCCAACCUGUACCUGGAGCCCAACCCGAAAGAGCCACAGAUGAUCCACAGAACUGUGAGGCAGAAACAUCAGUGUAUAAACGUGUACAUGAGCGAGAGUUACUUGGAUGGUCUGUUGCUGGCAGCCAAAGGCACCCUAACUGAGGCAGAAACAAUUACAUAUGGAGACAGUGAAAGGAAAGCCGAACCCCCGAGUGCCAGUGCAGCAAAAUAAGGCUGGAGUUGCCCUUCCCCUGGAGGAGAGGGACGCUUUUGGGAAGCCAACCAAAGGCAGUGAGAGACUGAGGACCGUCCCGGAGGAGAAGUACAAAUAACACGCUCUGCUGAAGGAUCUGUAUUUAUCCAGCCCUGCCACUGGGGCCUUCCAGUUUCCCGCUUCCAUUUUCUUCCACGUUGUGAGGCUGCUGGCCUUAAGGAUCCACAUUCUUUUUUCUUCAUGACCUUGGGCGCGGGAGCAGAAGCAGUCUGGAUUCCCAAAGCGCUGGAGGGGUGUUCGGUGCUGAAGAACUCGUUGAAAAUUCCAGGUAAGGAGGGUUGGGCUGCGUUUCUAGACUGAAGGUGGUCACCACAGGCCAGUGGUUUCAGCGAUACUGGUGUAUGAGAACCAAGUACGCUUCAUACUUUCUUGCAGCCACUUGUCAUGCCCAGCUCCUCUGCUGCGCUCUGCUGAAGCCUUCUUGACCUUCAGGCAGUGAGUUACACCCUGUGUGCUCCACGGCUCUUGGCGCAUGCCCCUAUUACAGGACUCACUGCACUGUGUUUUAUUUAUUUGCCUAGCCAUCUGUCUUUCGAGAUGGACCGCCAACUCCUUGAGGGCACUGACCAAAUCUUAUUCUUAUUUAUAUUAUUGGCUUAUUCACUAGCACAGAGCCUGGCACUUGGCAAUUAUCUAUCGAGUGACUCUCCAGAUGAAGGGGAUGGAAGAUGGGAAUAAUAAGAUGAACCAAUGUGGGCAUAAAGUCUUACAGUAGAAAUAGCAUGCCAAGUGGUGAAGUGUGUGGCCUUUGGAGUCCAACUGGUUUAAAUUCCAGCUCUACUACGAUGUCAAUUAAGAUUAGGUUUCGCUGUAAAGGACGGAAAACCCAAAGCAGUGGUGGCUCAAACUGGUUAGGUGUUCAUUUCUCUCAUUUCUCUUUCAUGUCAAAAGUCUCUGGGUGGUCACCUCAAGAUGGCUGAAUUGACUCAGUUCUGCGGAGUCUCUGGGGACCCAGGCUCCUUCUACCUUGUGGCUCUGCUGUGUACCCUUUGUCAUGUCAUGGCUCAAGCUGGCACCCCUCCAGCUCUGGCUCUCAUAACUACAUUCCACCAGCAGGAAGGAGGAAAGGGGAGAAGGCUCACGAGGCCAGGAAGUCGCCUUUGUUUAGACCCUGUUACCCACGAGUUAGUCACAUGGACACGCUUCGUUUCAACAGAGUCUGGAAAAUGUCUUAAUUCCAGAAGGCCAUGUGCUCAGCUUGUAAUGGGAAUCUGUGAUUCUGGAAGAAGGAGAAACUAGAUUUUAGAGAAAAACAGUCUCUGCUAUACUCACUUACUGUGUGACUUUGGGGAAGUGAAUUAACCUCUCUGAUUCUGUUUCCUCCUUCAAGAGUUAAGGGGAUGCAAGCAAAUACCUUAGCAAAGUGCCCGGCAUUUACUAAGUGUUCAGCUAGGACGUGGUGUGGCUAGGCUGGCUGGAGGAGUUGUUCCCAGCAGGGAGCCUGUGCACUCAAGUCAGCCUGCCUGAACCUGAGUCGUAAUCAAUACUGUUCACCUGCUCUGUGACCUGGGGUUACUUCACCUUUCUGAGCCUUGGUCUUCUCAUCUAUAGGAUGGGGGUAAUAAUAACUCUUUCUUCAUAGGGUCGUUGUGAGGAUUGACAUAUUUUAUGUAAAGUAGUUAGCAUAGCACCUAGCAAUAAAUAUUCUGUCAGUGUUGGGGCGCCUAGGUAGCUCAGUUGGUUGAGUGUCCGACUUCGGCUCAGGUCACGAUCUCAUGGUUCGUGAGUUCGAGCCCUGCGCCGGGCUCUGUGCUGACAGCUCGAAGCCUGGAGCCUACUUAGGAUUCUGUGUUUCCCUCUCU